rnacentral:rRNA from 1 species
AGUGGAGAGUGGCGCACGGGUGCGUAACACGUAGCUUACCUGCCCCGAAGACCGGGAUAACCUGCGGAAACGUGGGCUAAGACCGGAUAAGCUCACAGUCUGUAGAGGGGUGUGAGAAAAGCGAUUAGUGCUUUGGGAUGGGGCUGCGGCCCAUCAGCUAGUUGGUAGGGUAAAAGCCUACCAAGGCGACGACGGGUAGGGGGCCUGAGAGGGUGGCCCCCCACACUGGGACUGAGACACGGCCCAG